GUAUAAAUAGCUUAAAUAGAGCAUAGCUUUGAAGGUGCUAAGGUAACAUAUGUUUUUAUACA
rnacentral:tRNA from 1 species